UUUUUUGAUUUAUGGAUUUUGAAAGUCCUGUUAGAGGGUAACCUUCCCUCCCUAGUGC
rnacentral:tRNA from 1 species